CCUACGGGAGGCAGCAGUGGGGAAUAUUGGACAAUGGGGGGAACCCUGAUCCAGCGACGCCGCGUGAGUGAAGAAGUACUUCGGUAUGUAAAGCUCUAUCAGCAGGGAAGAAAAUGACGGUACCUGACUAAGAAGCCCCGGCUAACCACGUGCCAGCAGCCGCGGGAAUACGUAGGGGGCAAGCGUUAUCCGGAUUUACUGGGUGUAAAGGGAGCGUAGACGGUGCAGCAAGUCUGGUGUGAAAGGUCGGGGCCCAACCCCGGGACUGCACUGGAAACUGUUGGGCUGGAGUGCAGGAGAGGUAAGCGGAAUUCCUGGUGUAGCGGUGAAAUGCGUAGAUAUUAGGAGGAACACCAGUGGCGAAGGCGGCUUACUGGACUGUAACUGACGUUGAGGCUCGAAAGCGUGGGGAGCGAACAGGAUUAGAUACCCUAGUAGUC
rnacentral:rRNA from 1 species